rnacentral:rRNA from 1 species
UACAGAGGUCUCAAGCGUUGUUCGGAUUCAUUGGGCGUAAAGGGCGCGUAGGCGGCAAGGCAAGUCGGGUGUGAAAGCUUGGGGCUUAACCCCGAAAGGGCACUCGAAACUGCGUUGCUAGAGGGCCGGAGAGGAGAUCGGAAUUCACGGUGUAGCAGUGAAAUGCGUAGAGCUCGUGAGGAAGACCGGUGGCGAAGGCGGAUCUCUGGACGGCCCCUGACGCUGAGGCGGCGAAGGCUAGGGGAGCAAACGGG